rnacentral:lncRNA from 1 species
ACUUGCCGGAAUGUAAGAGGGACGGAGAGACGUCCGGAAAAGGCUGCCACGCUCGGAGCGCUGCGCCAGGCCAGGCACCUAGGCCAGGGGAGCGGAGACCUCGUGGGAGCGGGCAGGGGGACCUUUCCCCUCUCCCGGGCUUCCACCCAGGCGCCUCCCCGCUGUGAACGCCGCCGCCCAGGUGAAGGGGAAACCGGCCACGUUUCCGGACCUCGGCGGGGCACACGGUCUCCGGUUUUCACCGGCUCUGUCUUGGAGCCCCGAAGGGCAUCAGACAGCAGCCCCGGCACCCGGGGAUUAUUCCUGUACCUCUGCCUCCCUCCGCUUGGCGUUUGCGGGAACCUUGGUAAAAUCCUCCCUGUUUCUCGCGCGCGC